CCUACGGGAGGCAGCAGUGAGGAAUAUUGGUCAAUGGACGCAAGUCUGAACCAGCCAUGCCGCGUGCAGGAAGACGGCUCUAUGAGUUGUAAACUUCUUUUGUACGAGAGUAAACGCAGAUACGCGUCUCUGUCUGAAAGUAUCUUACGAAUAAGGAUCGGCUAACUCCGUGCCAGCAGCCGCGGUAAUACGGAGGAUUCGAGCGUUAUCCGGAUUUAUUGGGUUUAAAGGGUGCGUAGGCGGUCGGUUAAGUUAGAGGUGAAAUCCCGAGGCUCAACUGCGGAAUUGCCUUUGAUACUGGCAGGCUAGAGAGUAGUUGAGGUAGGCGGAAUGUAUGGUGUAGCGGUGAAAUGCUUAGAGAUCAUACAGAACACCGAUUGCGAAGGCAGCUUACCAAGCUACUUCUGACGUUGAGGCACGAAAGCGUGGGGAGCAAACAGGAUUAGAUACCCGUGUAGUC
rnacentral:rRNA from 1 species